CGCGAAUUCGCCCUUCGGGGUGCAGCAGGCGCGAAAACUUUGCAAUAAGCGAAAGCUUGACAGGGCUAUCCCGAGUGCCAUCCGCUGAGGAAGGCUUUUACCCAGUCUAGAACGCUGGGGGAAUAAGGAGAGGGCAAGUCUGGUGUCAGCCGCCGCGGUAAUACCAGCUCUCCGAGUGGUGUGGAUGUUUAUUGGGCCUAAAGCAUCCGUAGCUGGCUAGGUCAGUCCCUUGUUAAAUCCACCGAAUUAAUCGUUGGAUUGCGGGGGAUACUGCUUGGCUAGGGGACGAGAGAGGCAGACGGUAUUUUCGGGGUAGGGGUGAAAUCCUAUAAUCCCGGGAAGACCACCAGUGGCGAAGGCUGUCUGCUAGAACGCGCCCGACGGUGAGGGAUGAAAGCUGGGGGAGCGAACCGGAUUAGAUACCCGGGUAGUCCCAGCUGUAAACGAUGCAGACUAGGUGUUUGGACGGCCACGUGCCGUUCUAGUGCCGCAGGGAAGCUGUUAAGUCUGCCGCCUGGGGAGUACGAUCGCAAGAUUGAAACUUAAAGGAAUUGGCGGGGGAGCAC
rnacentral:rRNA from 1 species